rnacentral:rRNA from 1 species
CCUACGGGCGGCAGCAGUGAGGAAUAUUGGUCAAUGGGCGCGAGUCUGAACCAGCCAAGUAGCGUGAAGGAUGACUGCCCUAUGGGUUGUAAACUUCUUUUAUAUGGGAAUAAAAUGUUCCACGUGUGGGGUUUUGUAUGUACCAUAUGAAUAAGGAUCGGCUAACUCCGUGCCAGCAGCCGCGGUAAUACGGAGGAUCCGAGCGUUAUCCGGAUUUAUUGGGUUUAAAGGGAGCGUAGGGGGAUUGUUAAGUCAGUUGUGAAAGUUUGCGGCUCAACCGGAAAAUUGCAGUUGAAACUGGCUGUCUUGAGUGCAGGAGAGGUGGGCGGAAUGCGUGGUGUAGCGGUGAAAUGCAUAGAUAUCACGAAGAACUCCGAUUGCGAAGGCAGCUUACUGGACUGCAACUGACACUGAGGCACGAAAGUGUGGGUAUCGAACAGGAUUAGAUACCCUUGUAGUC